rnacentral:lncRNA from 1 species
UGCUGGUGGCUGUGCUCUGGAGAGCUUAUGCCUGGGGACCUCCCAACACUGCCCAGACCUGGUGUUUAGUUCUACAGUGGAGCCAGGGCUUUAGCUGCCUUCCUGAGUGCUUACAAGUGCUGCUUGGUAUUUGGCGGUUGUGGUUCAGGUAAUUGGUGUUGACAAGCUUAUUUGAAUACAAAAUUUAUUGCCAUGUAAAGUUUGUUUGCUUUUGAUGGUGCCUGCAGUGGUACUGGGGCGAAGGAAGUACAGAAAGCUCGUUAGCUUUCUGACUGACGAGUCUACGAACCCACCAGGCAAACCCUGCAAUAUUUUUGUUGCUGAUUGUACUCAACGUGUUUGAAUGAACUUGCUGGAUAGAGCAUGUCAGAGCAGAUUUCAGAAGGUGGCUGCAGAUCACUUUAAAUGUUGGUUUUGUGAGUGUGCUGGUGCACUUCACAGCAGGAGAGUGCAAACAACAAAACAAACCCAAAACUGUAGGGUAUUUCAUACGUCCUACUUCGCGCUUAGCAGUGUGUGCCAGAGCAGCUCUGCUCCGAUCUCCUUUAUGGACUCCAGAGCUGCUGGUUGGGUGGGAAGGGGGAGGAGGGAGGAUGCGGCAGGGGAUGAUGGGAUCUCUUUGUUUGAUUUGAUCUGAUUUUUGCUUCUUUCAUUGAACUGUGAUUGUGGUAUCAUUUGAUUUGUAGAGUUAAAAUCCCUCACUUGAGUGUUGCAUUUGUCUCAGGAAGCUUGUCUUUCUGAAUGAUGGGGAAAAAAACCCCACCCAAUGCUGUGGAAGAGAAUCCAGAGAGUGGCAGAGAAGGUGUGCUUAAAUACAGUAGUGGUACGGAUAUUGACCAAAAAACCUUUGGCAAAAUUGGUUGCUUUAAAGGGAUCAGGAAGUUUAAGUCCACAUGUAUAUUUUCUUAAUGAUGUGUGUUUAGGAAAUGUACUCAAAAUGCGUCAAUCAAUUUCUUGUUUCAGUGUAAACAUCCUGUGCUCUUGUCUGGGAGAAGUUGUGAAAAUGGGUAUGAAUAAAAAAGUGAAUUUGAUC